rnacentral:misc_RNA from 1 species
GAUGAAGAACGCAGCGAAAUGCGAUAAGUAAUGUGAAUUGCAGAAUUCAGUGAAUCAUCGAGUCUCUGAACGCACAUUGCGCCCCCUGGUAUUCCGGGGGGCAUGCCUGUCCGAGCGUCAUUGCUGCCCUCAAGCACGGCUUGUGUGUUGGGCCCCGCCCCCCGGCUCCCGGGGGGCGGGCCCGAAAGGCAGCGGCGGCACCGCGUCCGGUCCUCGAGCGUAUGGGGCUUCGUCACCCGCUCCGUAGGCCCGGCCGGCGCCCGCCGGCGACCCCCCUCAAUCUUUUCAGGUUGACCUCGGAUCAGGUAGGGAUACCCGCUGAACUUAAGCAUAUCAAUAAGCGGAGGA